GAUGAACGCUGGCGGCGUGCCUAAUACAUGCAAGUCGAGCGAACGGACGAGAAGCUUGCUUCUCUGAUGUUAGCGGCGGACGGGUGAGUAACACGUGGAUAACCUACCUAUAAGACUGGGAUAACUUCGGGAAACCGGAGCUAAUACCGGAUAAUAUUUUGAACCGCAUGGUUCAAAAGUGAAAGACGGUCUUGCUGUCACUUAUAGAUGGAUCCGCGCUGCAUUAGCUAGUUGGUAAGGUAACGGCUUACCAAGGCAACGAUGCAUAGCCGACCUGAGAGGGUGAUCAGCCACACUGGAACCGAGACACUGACCAGACUCCUGAGGGAGGCAGCAGUAGGGAAUCUUACGGAAUUGGCGAAAACCUGACGGAGCAAACGCGCGUGGGUGGUAAAGGUCCUCCGGACGGAAAACUCUGUUAUUAGGGAAGAACAUAUGUGUAAGUAACUGUGCACAUCUUGACGGUACCUGAUCAGAAAGCCACGGCUAACUACGUG
rnacentral:rRNA from 1 species